rnacentral:rRNA from 1 species
AGAGUUUGAUCAUGGCUCAGGAUGAACGCUGGCGGCGUGCUUAACACAUGCAAGUCGAACGCUGAAGCCCCAGCUUGCUGGGGUGGAUGAGUGGCGAACGGGUGAGUAACACGUGAGUAACCUUCCCUUGACUCUGGGAUAAGCCUGGGAAACCGGGUCUAAUACCGGAUGCGACCCUCUACCGCAUGGUGGGGGGUGGAAAGAUUUAUCGGUCUUGGAUGGACUCGCGGCCUAUCAGCUUGUUGGUGGGGUAAUGGCCCACCAAGGCGACGACGGGUAGCCGGCCUGAGAGGGUGACCGGCCACACUGGGACUGAGACACGGCCCAGACUCCUACGGGAGGCAGCAGUGGGGAAUAUUGCACAAUGGGCGCAAGCCUGAUGCAGCGACGCCGCGUGAGGGAUGACGGCCUUCGGGUUGUAAACCUCUUUCAGUAGGGAAGAAGCGAAAGUGACGGUACCUGCAGAAGAAGCGCCGGCUAACUACGUGCCAGCAGCCGCGGUAAUACGUAGGGCGCGAGCGUUAUCCGGAAUUAUUGGGCGUAAAGAGCUCGUAGGCGGUUUGUCGCGUCUGCCGUGAAAGUCCGGGGCUUAACCCCGGAUCUGCGGUGGGUACGGGCAGACUGGAGUGCAGUAGGGGAGACUGGAAUUCCUGGUGUAGCGGUGAAAUGCGCAGAUAUCAGGAGGAACAUCGAUGGCGAAGGCAGGUCUCUGGGCUGUUACUGACGCUGAGGAGCGAAAGCAUGGGGAGCGAACAGGAUUAGAUACCCUGGUAGUCCAUGCCGUAAACGUUGGGCACUAGGUGUGGGGGCCAUUCCACGGUUUCCGCGCCGCAGCUAACGCAUUAAGUGCCCCGCCUGGGGAGUACGGCCGCAAGGCUAAAACUCAAAUGAAUUGACGG